rnacentral:rRNA from 1 species
CCGCGGUAAUACCAGCUCCACUGGCCUAUACAAUCAUUGUUGCGGUUAAGAGGCUCGUAGUUGGAUUGAACACUAUAUUUAUAUAUAUUUAUUAAUAUAUAUUUUUAACUGACAUACUGUUACACACGCAUUUAUAUAUAUAUUAUUAUCAAUAUCAAUCAUCAACACUGUGAACAAAUCUUAAUGUAUCAAAUAUGUCUAUUUUGAAUGUGCAUUGAAUGUCUUAUCAUGGAAUGUUGCCACUUUGCACGUGAGAGGAUUCAAAAUUUAACAUAUAUUGAUACACAAUACAAUAUAAUAAUAUAUGGCAACGAUAAUAUGCGUAUUAAAUUUUGAACAGUAUUUAUUUAUACGUCGAUGGGGAUAGUUGGAGUCAAGAGUACUGUUGGGCGAGAGGUGAAAUUCAAUUGACCCUAGCAUGACUACCAAAAGCGAAAGCACUCGACUAGGCUACACUCUUUGUGAAUAUAUAUAUUUAUUUAUACACGCGCCAAUAAUAAUAUAUAUAUUAUACACUUUACAAUGAAGAACGAAGGUUGGGGGAUCAAAGAGGAUCAGAUACCCUCGUCGUCCCAUUAAUUACAUCAAACGAUGGGCUNUCAAUAGCAUUUUAUAUAAUAAAUUGUAAUUUAUGCCCUCAACCUAUAAAAUAUUAACUUGGCUUGAGCUAGUAAUAUUAUUAUUAUAUUACGCUCGCCUAAUCUAUAUUUAACGGUCUCGAUGGACAUUUAUAUGAAUUUAUAUUUCUAACURCUGCGUGUAAGCAUAUAUAUUUAUUGAAAUAUAUAAAUUAUUUAUAGCGUGCACUUGAUUUUCGGNGCUUUGCGCUCAAAUUUAUUCUGGUGAGAUGUAAGCAAUCAAUUAUUAUUUAUUUGUCCUAUAUAGUUCGCUAUUAGUGAUAUAAUUAUUUAAUAAUUCAUAUGUGUAUUGUGAUGCACGUGUUAGGCACGCGCUUACUGCAGAAAUGUCUGAGACNNUNNCCUCCGGGGGUAGUAUGCACGCAAGUGUGAAACUUGAAGGAAUUGACGGAAGGGCACCACAAGAACGCGUGGAGCAUGUGGCUUAAUUUGACUCAACGCGGGAAAUCUUACCGGGUCCGGACACACUGAGGAUUGACAGAUAUAUUAUUAUAUGUAUUUUAAAUACAUAUAUUAGAAAGAUGCUAGUUCUUUCAUGAUUAUGUGAUAGGUGGUGCAUGGCCGUUCUUAGUUCGUGGAGUGAUCUGUCUGCUUAAUUGCGUUUCACUAAAGGCCUUAUUAUAUACAGUGUGUUGACACUUUGCAUUGACCCCUGCUCAUUGAGUGGUUGCGUGUCUUUGUUAUACUGUCUCAUACUAAUUUAGGCCUUGAAAGCAACGAACGUGACCGCAACCUCUUGUUGCCUUAUUACCAUAUAUAAUAAUUGUGUCUCUGUACACAUUUAUUGUAAUAAAGGCUAUUUUAUUUAAAUUAAACUAGAGGGACCGCUGUGAUCUUUUUUAAACCAGAGGAAGGUUGCGGCAAUAACAGGUCUGUGAUGCCCUUAGAUGUUCCGGGCUGCACACGUGCUACAAUGAUUAUUGCAGUGAGCAUCUCAUUUAUAACAGCUGUCUUGUGCGUGUAUUAAUUAUUUUUAUAAUAAUUAAAUUACAUUGUACACAGCUAAGCCUACUUCGAGAGGUCAGUAGGUAACCAAUUAGAAGUAAUGAUUUCUAAUUUAUUAUGCACAACAAUAUGUGGCAUUUAUAUCCGGGUUGUAGCUUUGCCUAUAACUUUUGUGUGUAUAAAUGUAUUUUAUAUCCACAUGUGCAAUUAUUAAUACAAGGUGGGGACAGACUAUUGUUAAUUGUUAGUCUCGGUCUUAACUAGGAAUGCCUUGUACGGGUUGGUUCAACAAACCACCCGGAAUACGUCCCUGCCCUUUGUACACACCGCCCGUCGCUCUUACCGAUGAACUUCUCUGUGAGUCUAAUGGACUAAUUAUAUUAUUAACGUUUUAUAAUGGAAAAUUAUACGAACAGGGUGGUUUAAAGGAAAGAGAAGUCGAACAAGGC